rnacentral:rRNA from 1 species
AUGCACGCUGGCGGCGUGCUUCACCCAUGCAAGUCGAACGAAACACCUUAUUUGAUUUUCUUCGGAACUGAAGAUUUGGUGAUUGAGUGGCGGACGGGUGAGUAACGCGUGGGUAACCUGCCCUGUACAGGGGGAUAACAGUCAGAAAUGACUGCUAAUACCGCAUAAGACCACAGCACCGCAUGGUGCAGGGGUAAAAACUCCGGUGGUACAGGAUGGACCCGCGUCUGAUUAGCUGGUUGGUGAGGUAACGGCUCACCAAGGCGACGAUCAGUAGCCGGCUUGAGAGAGUGAACGGCCACAUUGGGACUGAGACACGGCCCAAACUCCUACGGGAGGCAGCAGUGGGGAAUAUUGCACAAUGGGGGAAACCCUGAUGCAGCGACGCCGCGUGAGUGAAGAAGUAUUUCGGUAUGUAAAGCUCUAUCAGCAGGGAAGAAAAUGACGGUACCUGACUAAGAAGCCCCGGCUAACUACGUG